rnacentral:rRNA from 1 species
UACGAAGGGGGCUAGCGUUGCUCGGAUUGACUGGGCGUAAAGCGCACGUAGGCGGAUACUUAAGUCAGGGGUGAAAUCCCGGGGCUCAACCCCGGAACUGCCUUUGAUACUGGGUAUCUCGAGUCCGGAAGAGGUGAGUGGAAUUCCGAGUGUAGAGGUGAAAUUCGUAGAUAUUCGGAGGAACACCAGUGGCGAAGGCGGCUCACUGGUCCGGUACUGACGCUGAGGUGCGAAAGCGUGGGGAGCAAACAGG